UGAACGCUGGCGGCGUGCUUAACACAUGCAAGUCGAACGGUAACAGAAGCAGCUUGCUGCUUGCUGACGAGUGGCGCACGGGUGAGUAAUAUAUAGUUAAUGUACCUCGAAGACCGGGAUAGCCAUUGGAAACGAUGAUUAAUACUGGAUAGUCCUUCUUUACUUAAGUAGAGUCGGUAAACGUUUUUUCGCUUCGAGAUCAGACUAUAUCCCAUCAGCUUGUUGGUAGUGUAAGAGACUACCAAGGCAAUGACGGGUAGCGGGUUUGAGAGGAUGAUCCGCCACACUGGUACUGAGACACGGACCAGACUCCUACGGGAGGCAGCAGUGAGGAAUAUUGCACAAUGGGGGAAACCCUGAUGCAGCAACGCCGCGUGGAGGAUGACGCAUUUCGGUGUGUAAACUCCUUUUAUGAGUCAAGAAAAUGACGGUAGCUCAUGAAUAAGCACCGGCUAACUCC
rnacentral:rRNA from 1 species